CCUACGGGAGGCUGCAGUGAGGAAUAUUGGUCAAUGGACGCAAGUCUGAACCAGCCAUGCCGCGUGCAGGAAGACGGCUCUAUGAGUUGUAAACUGCUUUUGUACGAGGGUAAACGCAGAUACGCGUAUCUGUCUGCAAGUAUCGUACGAAUAAGGAUCGGCUAACUCCGUGCCAGCAGCCGCGGUAAUACGGAGGAUUCAAGCGUUAUCCGGAUUUAGUGGGUUUAAAGGGUGCGUAGGCGGUCGGAUAAGUUAGAGGUGAAAGCCCGGGGCUCAACUUCGGAAUUGCCUCUGAUACUGUUAGGCUAGAGUGUAGUAGCGGUAGGCGGAAUGUAUGGUGUAGCGGUGAAAUGCUUAGAGAUCAUACAGAACACCGAUUGCGAAGGCAGCUUACCAAGCUACUACUGACGUUGAGGCACGAAAGCGUGGGGAGCAAACAGGAUUAGAUACCCGGGUAGUC
rnacentral:rRNA from 1 species